CAGGUUUAUGGAGUUCCUCUUGAGGGCUUACAGUUGACAAAACCUGGUAUCUUUCCCGAUCAAAGAUCAUCCGGAGAAGAGUUCAGGAAGAAGUGGAUUGAGGGUUUGUCCCAACAACAUAAAAGGCUAAAGUCAUUGGCUGAUCAUGUUCCCCACGGUUAUAGGAGAAAGUCACUUUUUGAAGUCCUUGUAAGAAAUAACGUGCCAUUACUAAGAGCAACAUGGUUUGUCAAAGUAACUUAUCUCAAUCAGG
rnacentral:misc_RNA from 1 species